GCAUAGGUAUAUCAGCGCAGCUGAUCAGCAUGCCGCGUGCAGGAUGAAGGCCUUCGGGUUGUAAACUGCUUUUGUACGGAACGAAAAGGCUUCCACUAAUACUGGGGGCUCAUGACGGUACCGUAAGAAUAAGCACCGGCUAACUACGUGCCAGCAGCCGCGGUAAU
rnacentral:rRNA from 1 species